CUUGAAUGAGUUGCAUGGCUGGAGUUGUCCUUACACGACACAAUUUGGGGCAGUGCCUGCACGAAGCCAAGGAGGAUGAAGCGAGAGAAAGAUGGGAAGGCACCGAUGGGCUAGCUUUUUUUGUUGGGAGGAACGACCGAAGCUUUAUUAGCUUAAAAAGUUAAGUGAGAUAUAAAGAUAGUUUUUUUUUAGCGAAAGAUAUAGAGAUAGUUGGGUAGGUCUGUCAAGAGAUGGGCCAGGGGAGGAAAGGCUCGGUUGAAGGGAAGAGAAGGAGAGAGUUGGGCUGCAGCCUUGAGUAGAAGAGA
rnacentral:lncRNA from 1 species